CGCCAGUUGAGUUGAGUGGUCGCGAGCGGAGCUCACGUUGUGUGUGGGACAGUUACCGAGGCGUUUGUACAAGUGCCUACUGGGCACCUGGCACCCACUUAGUGCCCAAUUUGACUCCUUGUCCUUGUGCGGGAGGGUCCCGUGGCCGCUGCGAGUCCCGUUGCCGAGUGACCGGGCCCGGUGUGACCUCGAUCUGACGUUUGGCCGCGGCUCAGUGGUUGCAGCGUUCAACACGCCGCCGGGCGGACGCAGGAAUUGAAUGAAAACAAAGUUUGGGUCCGAUUGCGUGCGGACCUCGCGAGUGCGUGAACACCGGGGCGGAGGGUGCAAGCCGGGGGAGUUGUGUGUGAUUUAUUGAAUUUUCACUGCCGUGCAUCCGCUGCAGCGGAGGAGUGUCGUCGAAUCAGCUGUUGUGGUCCCGUUAGAGUGCGGGGGUGUCGAUGAAGUUGCUGGAGUUUGGGCGCUCGUCGACGCGCGUCUGUCCGGCUCCCGAAGGCUCUGCGGCGCGAUGAAACAGGGAAACGUAUUUGCGUGGAAAAUUUAAUUAGUGUCCUUCCGGAUUGUGGCGAUUGCGAGCUGGUGCGGUGUCCUGCGGAGCGGGAAAGCUGGAGAAGCAUCGCGAGUGUGUUGCCAAGUGAUCCCUUGCCGAGAUCCAAGCGGAAAAGUCGGAACGUGUCAAGGACUCCGAGGUAGAAAGUCCUUUCGCGCGGGGGCAGUGGAUUAUCGAAUCGAAGACGGCAAGGACACUCGAGCGAGCCAGUUGGCAGGUGAAAGUUAGACCCUCGUCGUCAGGACUCAACUCCAUCGUUCUAUGGACUCCAUUGACAACACGAUUGACUCGUUUGUGUAGAAAUGGCGCGUGCUGGAUGUAGGCCGAAUGGAUUGCAAAAAUUAGAGGGUGACGAUGUUGAAAAAUCCCUAGAGCUUCUGGACAAAGUUCUAUCGGAAUUCGAAGAUCCUGAUUCGUUGCCGCACAUUGAACCGGAGAGCCCGUCCCAGGGUAAUCAGUCUGAGGACGAUGGUUACAUGAGCAUGAAUGGAAGGAGGGCCAAAAUUCCUCCGGACUUCCAUCAGCAGCAGCAACAGCACCAGCAGCAGGAAGACCAUAAAAUACCCCACGAACAGGCAUCUGAUGAGUCCUCUGUAUCGCCACCGGCAAUGGCAGAACCUCCAGCACAUCCUAUUCCAACGGAAGAGACAAAAUCAGAAGAGCCACCUCCACCAGAAGUUGCCGAGGCCAUUAUUUCGAAUUUAUUACCAAGAUCCGGGUCAAUAAAUGCAACCGAACUAAAUCAUUUACACAAAAUCAACAGUCCAAGACACCAUCAUUUAGUUCGUCAACAAUCACAGGAUCUUUGUGAGCACAAUAACUUAACGCUAGUGCCUCCCAACUAUAUAAAUGGCGACGAUAAAGGCGGAGGAAGGAUAGACAUAGACGGCGCCAGAAGUGGUCCUACAAUCAGUGGCGACACAGGUAGCGACGUCGGAAACUAUGAUGAUGGCGAGCAUACCACUGGUGCGAUUAUGCCGCAGCAACAACAGCACAACGAUAAAAGCAACAUCAACAUCCCGGAAACACAGAUUCCUUCACAAGCAACACUGCCAAAGACACGUCCGUCUACAGUCAUUCCCUCCAGAUAUUCAAGUCUUCCGUGUUCUGGACCAGCUCGUUCGUUUGACGGCAGUCCGAAUGGCAUGGGUCCGGGGGGAAUGCGAGCCGCAAUGGGCAGUGGCAGCUUCGAUGGCGGCGGUGGUAGAAAUAUCCUUGGAAUUGGUAUCAGCGCCGUACACGAUGCUGUUCUACGUGGAGGAGUUGCCAAACUGUUACCAGAACCAAUUGUCAAUGAACAUCCUGUUACAAUCUACCCGGGCAGGGCGUCACCCCCGCGUGGUCGGGUGCCCCCAAGGACUCUGCCCGGAUCCGUAGAGCGCCACCGAGAAGUGUGUCGCAAUUUGAACGCAUUGGACCAACACGACGGGAACAUGAUCGAUCCGUGCACCAACAAAAUCUUCUCGCCCUCACACCAGCAAUUCGUCAUCAGCAAAUCACCCUCAUCCCCCGUGAUGAUAGUGCAAAAACCCAAGGCCGGCCUAUUGUGUCACAGCAACAGCAGCAGCAGCACGACGAACAGUAGUUUUAGCAAUAACCAAACCAAUCACAUGAUUAUCGACAAUAAAAUGCUAUUUGGAAAUCUUCAGAUUCCACCCCGAAAACGUACCAAUGAAUUGAAUGGGACUGAUAGCGUUAGUAAGCGAGGCGAUGGUAGAGGCCCGAAAGAUACAGGAGCGAGCAGUGAAAGCACCGAUGAAGAAUUCUCGGAUGAUUCCUUGGAAGGUCAAUCUUUGCCACCACCACCGCCUCCACCAAUAGUGCCUCCGCCGCCAUCCCUAUCGGCGCCAGUUACGCCUAGCAAACGUGGCAGUAUAGCAUGGGAAAUCAAUUUGGACGACCAUUUGCCACCACCGCCACCUGCACAUUUACAUCAACAAUUGAAUCAUGUCUCGGCAUCAGGAUCGUCAUCAGCCCCAACCAAGUCUAAGAAGAAAAUGAUGUCUAAUAAGGAGAAGGCAGCAAGUCUGAAAUUGGAUACAUCGUCGUCGUCCUCAGCCAAGGUGAUUCCACGACGUCGUGGUCGCAGUGUUUCCGGCGGUUCCCAGUCCAGUCUUGCAUCAACACCCAGUGGUGGCGGGGGCGGUGGUAGUUUAUCGAAUAAUCACUCGCCGAGACAUCAUAAUUUGCGACAUAGAUCCGGUUCGGUAGAGUGGCCUGAGCCACCAGAUCCACCAGUUUGUAGUACAGAGGACGAGGCUGCAUCUUUGUAUUCAGAUUCUGACGAUGUGAUACCAACAUAUCCCGCAAAUAUGACCGGCCAAGGAACAUACGUUAUACGUAAAGGACGACGGGAACGUAAUCGUUUACCAGAACUGAAUGCAUCAAUGUCGUCUUCGAUUAAUUCACGAUUGAGCAAUGAAGCCAUUUCGCCAGCUGUUUCGCAAUUGAAUAGUCUUUUUGUACCAAAUUCCCGGCAUAGUAUCGAUUUAGGUGCUUCAUCCCAAAUGCCUCCGCCUAUAUCUCAUCACAAUUCUCUACUUUCACCAAGAUCGCGGCUUUCACUAGACUUAAGUUCACCAAACUCUACCUCAGAGCUUCCACAACAAUCUGUAAUACACGCAUCGUCCUCUGGUAACAUGAUGCUAGGACAACAGCGCUAUAACGAUUAUAAGGCAUUUAACAAUAGCACAGCAGCGCAUUAUCAACAGCAGCAGAAGCAUCACCAGCAGCACGAUGAUGCUCAAUGUGGCAUCGGUAGCAGCAAUCACAUUGAAUCUAAUGGCAAUGGAGUUGCACAAAUGGCAACAACACAUCACAGCGGCAGCAGUAGCAGUUUAAAUAACAAUAAUAAUAGCAACAGUGCAAACAAUGGCUCUAAUAGUAGUUUAAACGGUCCUCCACAGCGUGUCCCGUCACUUUCAGGAAUGGCGGUCACGUCCCAGCAACAGCAACAUCAACAAUCUACGCAAAAUGACGUUAUCACAACGACACCACGACGUGAAUUAGCCCCGCCUAUCGAAGAGGAUGAGGAACAGGAUAGCGAAUCACAACGUGGUGCACCACUACGAGAAAUUGAAAAUAAUAUUAGUGCAUUGUUACGUGGCGAUAUAUCAGUGGCAAGAGUUGGUGAUAUAUCACAUCAUCGACGACCAUUAGCUUUUCGACCUGGUGUUCAUAAGUCCGAAAGUGCCAAAGAAAUGUUAUUAUCGCAAGCGGCGGUAUUUGGUCCGUUACCACCAUCUCCGCCAUCAUCUAGUCCUGAGGUGGAAAUCGACGGUUUCCCACCACUUCCACCAUCACCACUAGAAAAUGCCGCCGACGAUGAAGGUGAUGCCGACGAUGAUAUUGUACGCGGUUUGCACGGAAUACGAAUCUCAUCUCGUACUCGAUUGCAUUUUUCACGUGAUCGCGACAGUUUUGAACAUCCACCGGCCGUGCCACCGCAUCGUAGUCAACCCUCAGUGAAUACACUGAAAACACGUUCAAUGGAUGCUGGGUAUACGAAAAAAUACUCAUCAUCAUCGUCAUCACAUUCAGGCGGUCCAGGAACUCUACCGGGUGAUAUGCCACCUACAUCGAGUUCAAGACGACGACUUAUGUCUGGAGCGUAUCCAAAACGAUCGGCACAAAGUCCAAGGGAAGAGAGACGUCUCCAGACUUCCUGUAGUUUACCAGAGACGCCUAUUUUUGCGAGAGGAUGUGAUAUUCCCCGAACUCCUCAUCGUCGUGCACCUGAUCUUCCUACGAGCGGUUCGAGGACAGCUCCUCGUACGAAUACUGCGACUGCUCCUACUCUGAAUUCGUCUAUUGUUGGAAUUGGAAAUACAUUGGGUGGUGGUGGUGGAGGCCGACAGCACACCAUUAAUCAGGCAUUGGCCAGCGGAGAGAUGCUUCGUUUGGCCGGCGGCCCAGCACGUGGCUGGUAUCCAAAGCAAAGGAAUCAACAACGACCGGUCUCAACGGAACAUCUGGAUCGUUUGCAUCGAUCGCAGGGUUCAAUGCGAGCCUGGGAUGCAAGUGGAAUGACCGGGACCGGUGGAAACCGUAUGUGGGUGGUUUUAUGAGAACAAGGAAAUGGAAAGGAAAAAGAUCCGAAACGUGAUAAGGAGGCAUAUGCGACGUCUGCAAUACAUAGAUCACCUGGAUCGGCCGGCGACAUACCAAUCGGACAAAACGGUACAGCACAA
rnacentral:misc_RNA from 1 species